UCCUCUCUCAAAAACCUUACCUCUUGCCUCACCUCUUGCUCUAUUCUUCUAUAAUGUGAGUUUUUUGCUUCCAAUCCAACAAAUUGGGCGUGAAUAUAAGGCUCUUAUGCAAUGGAAACAGAAAAUUAGAGGUUGGAUAAUUUUUUUUUUACAAAUUGCAGAAUUUUUUGCUUGUAGAAAUUCUGAAAGUGCUUAGAAAUUCACUCUCUCUCCACCAUUAUUCUUGUCUUUUUCAGGUAACUUUUAUCCCCAUUUCUUUUGCUUUCUAUGUUACAAAACGUACUUGGAUGUUCAUAAAUAUUUACUUCACAAUUUAGGUUUAGAAUAAUUUGUGAACUUUUUAAGUUCGACAGUAGUACUUUUUAGUUUCAAGGAUAUAAUACAGUAGAUAAUGAUGUUUUGGGUAGAUGAAAAAUUGAUACUAUUUUAGGGUUCAGAUUUCAACUGGAAUGUUCUUAUUAGGGAUUUCCCCAUUCACACUUCAGUCGAUUUUAGGGAUUAGAUUUCAACUGAAAUUUUCUUAUUAGGGAUUUACCCAUUCACACUUGAAUCGAUUUUAGGGAUUAGAUUUCAACUGGGAUUUACCUAUUCACGCUUCAAUUUCUUGUUGAUAUGCUUUAUCUCAUAAACAUGAUGAGUUUGAUUGCAGUUUUUUUGGAUCUUACUUUAAGAUUAUUGAGUGCAAGUGACAGAUUCUAACUUUGAAGUUCUUUGUUGGCUAUCUCGACAGUAUUUCUACAAGCUAUGUAUGUUUUUUUCCCUUGGAUAUAGACUAUUAAUAUAAUGUAUACUGAAUAUAUUAUAUAUGUACAUCUAACAUACAAUCGAGUACUCAUUCUUAACAUUUGUUUGUACUUAGCUCACUUCUUAACUUUGAUGCUUGUUUUCCUUUAAUUUCUUCUCUAAGCAUUGGAAGUCACAACAUAAACUAGAGAAACAGGAUAUUAUCAUUAAUGAACCUCUUGUGUAGUAUUAGGACUUCUUUCGGUAAUUUUUCUUAUUGAACUUUGUAAUGUGAUUAACUUCGUGAAUCUGAAAUUGUCUGUUGUUCCUUCCGAAAAGAACAAUCAUCUCUUUAAAUAUUUCUUUGGCUAUUCUGAUAGUUAGCAUUCUUCAGUUAGUCUGUUAUAACUUAAACAAAUCAAUUUUCUAAGUACAAUUGAUUAUCUGUGCUUCAAAAUAUUGAAUAGGGAUUGCAGUGCACUAUUGGAACUGAUUGAGGAAUAUUUAUAUUCUUCAAAAGAGCUAAAUGAUGGUUAAAGUUCAUCUAGUUGACUAUUAUUAAUCUCAAAAGGAAAAAGCUGAUCUAAUUGUUGUCAUGUUCUGUUUGUAGUUUGGCCUGUUAUAUUAAUCAUGACUUCUUGUUGUUUUCAGAUUUCAAGUACUAAUACUUAUUUGACAGAAGAAUUAAAUAAUUUGUCUAUUUAGCUGGGUUGAUUGACAGUGAGCUGCUUUCUUUCUAAAGUUCAAUAGAAAUGAAUUAUGUGGUAAUUUGUGAAGAGCCUAUGAUGAUGUGGAAAGACGAAUACCUAACUAAAGUAGAUAUAAAUAAAUAUAUGAAGAGUUACUGGAAAUUGCUUUUCCUUUUUUUUGGUGAAUGAUGGGUGUAUUAUUUGUUGCUCUAAGAAUACUUAGCAAUCUUUUGAGUCGUUCAGAUCUAUAGCCUUAGCUUGUCUUUUGAAUUUCUUCCAUUCUCGUUUGUACCUAAUCUAAAUGAUAGAGUCUGAUUGUGUGAUUUGAACUCCAGUUAAGCAUUGUGUGAUUUGAAAUUUUAAAGUCUUCUUUUUAAACUCAACUUGUUCUCCCCUUUAGAAGGCAUUUGAUUGUUUUUAGCUCUUUGUUUUAUUCCUCCUCUGUUCUUGGUUUUUGGUUGUUUUUCUGUUGUAACUUUGCACUGUUAACAUUAUAUAGUAGGAUUUUACCUAAACUUUAUUUUUAGCCACAUUUUAGAGGUUUUUGCUAAGUUAAAAGUCAACUGAUGACAAACUCUAUAUGGCUUUCUUUCAUAAUUAAUACACAGGUGUUUGUUAAGGCUCUUCAAAGUUAUUUCCUGGACAAUAUUCAUUUUUCUGGUAAGACUAUUCGCCAAUAUUAUUCCCUCUUUAUAACAGAAAUGCCCGUUUAGGUCAUCAUUUACUUUCUCAUGUAAGCAACACUUAUUUGAUUUCUUUGAAACUGGUUACUUUAUGCAGUGAUGUGGAGUGAACAUGUAAGAAUUUAUUCUUAUAUAUACUAUUGAUCAAUGACUUCUUAUAUAGUGCAGUAUUAUACUAUAAGAAUUCUUGUAGUACUAAUCUCAUAUAGUAAGAAUUUAUACAGUGACUUCUUAUAUAGUUUUUAUAAUUUUUUUACUUGGUAAACAAAAAAGAAGGCAUUCUGAUGUCAACCUGUUAUUCCAUAUAGAAGGCAUCCGAUGUCUUAUUAAAUAAAGAAUUGUAAUUGUCGUGUUUAUUUCAAUAUUAAAUAGGAAUAUGGAUAAUCUAGAGGUUGGAUAGCCGAGGUGGUAAUACUUCCAGUUUCAUAACAGGUGUGAAUAAGUUUAUCCAGUUUGCUUGUUCUCAGCGCAAUCGCAUGAGUGGUGACAAUGUUAGAUGUCCAUGUAAAAAAUGUGACAACAUGAAAUACAUGGAUGUCGAAACCGUUGAAUUGCACCUUUUUCUGUAUGGAUUUGUUGAGAACUAUUUUAUCUGGAAGUAUCAAGGGUAAAUAAUGUGACUAGUGAGAUGUCUUCUAGUGGUGAUUUUCAUGGUGGGUCUCAAACCUGAAUUGGGAUUAAUUCCAUUGGUAUGCUGCUUAUCUUCUCUCCGAGCAAUUUCAACUAAUUUAGGAACAGUUAACAAAUUAUUUGAACAUUUUCGGAUCCGUAUCAAUACAAUGAUAUGCAGAAUUACAGCCUUGAACUUAAAUUGUCAAAAAUGUACAAAGCUUCAAAGGUUUCUUGCUGUAGAAACUCUAGAAAAUCUGUAACAUGAUUGAAGUAGUAUUUCUUAUUCUGGCUUUAUACUAUGUCUGCUCUUUCUUUUGUAUUAGAAAAAUGUACUCAUGUGAGUUGCCACUGGGACUCACACGGGUGGCUCUAUCAAUGUAGGGGAGUAUCGCAAGAGACUUGUAAGUGUAAACAUCGAAAAAUCUCAUUUAAGUUUGCACUAAUCCGAAUUUGAAAAGUGUGUCUAGCUUGAAGAUAGCAGUUGGUUGAAGGAAUUUUAGUUGUGUUUCUUUUAGACUUAAAGGUAGGAACUCAAUCUUGAUGCUACAUGAAUUGGCAGUACAUGAGCGCUACAUUACCACAUAUAUAAUUGAAAAUUUCGAGAUGCUUUGUCUCUUCAGAAUGGGAUAUGAGGCAAAAAUAGUUGGUUGUAGUUGUAGAUAUGAGACAUGGAUGGAAAUCAAUGUUUUUGGUUCACAAGUCAAAGAAGAGCAGAUGGGGUGAUUGAAGAAUUCAUGAGUUAUAUUAUGGAUGAACAGAGAGUAAUAUUUUCUCUAUGUAAUUUUCAAUCUCAAUUGUACACAAAAAUUUCUUUUGCCAAUCUUCUGAAUUGAGUAACUUUUGUAUAGGCUGUUGAAAAGGGUUGAGAUCCAACACCAAGUGAGAUGCAUUUGCACGUCCAUACACAUAGUCAUGAUGGAACAUCUUUUGUUGGUGAGAAAUCCCAAAUCGUACAUGAAAUAUUACAACAAAAAACAUUGACUCAGUCUGAUGUUGAUCAGUGUCAAGCAUAUUAUCAAGCCGCGGGAGGAGAAAAGAAAAGAAGAGUAUAUAGUCUUGGAUCUUAAGCAAAAUGCUAGUAUGGGUAGAAUCUCCGCGAUUCUUUUGGAUUCGAUGCUACAUCUUCAGGAGCACCUCCGAAUGCUCAAUCAACACCAACAGGAAAACUGGAUGAGUUUGUGAUGCGUUUGAUUCCUGUAUUGACAGAGCAUAUAGUUUAUGUGAUCGUUGAGCGGGUACGAGGAUUAGUUUCUUCGCCCUCGCAUCAGCCAAAUACUGAUCUUACCAACCACCCAUCAGUUGUGACACCUACAGUUCCUACCUCUCCUACUGCUGCUAACUUUGAUGAGGUUCAUGCAUUGGGUUCUGAUGAUUAAAGAAUGGAAUUCCGCUACCCCUAGCAAAGUAACCUGAACACUGAUGGAUGUUGUUGAUAUGCCAUAACCCACUACCCAAUUUGAUUAGAAGAUGCAGGAGGACUAAAGGAAAAUUGCACAGACCAGGAAAUAGUUAGCCUCUUUUGUUUGACCCGUGACACUUCAGCCUCACAAUAGUCAGCCUAUUUUGUUUGGAUUUGGUGGUGUUUGUGGAUGGUUUGUACUUAACGAUACAAUUAUAUGCAUUAUGCUUUAUCUUUUGGACCUUGUUGAAUAUUAAUAUAUAUGAAUAUCGGUUACUUUAA